AGAGUUUGAUCAUGGCUCAGAACGUACGCUGGCGGCACGCCUAACACAUGCAAGUCGAACGAAGUAGCAAUACUUAGUGGCAGACGGGUGAGUAACAUGUGGGUAUCUGCCCUUUGGCCUGGAAUAACACGAGGAAACUUGUGCUAAUACCGGAUAAGUCUUUACAGAGAAAGCUUUAUACACCAUUGGAUGAGCCCGCACUUGAUUAGUUUGUUGGUAGGGUAAUGGCCUACCAAGACUGUGAUCAAUAGCUGAUUUGAGAGGAUGAUCAGCCACAUUGGGACUGAGACACGGCCCAAACUCCUACGGGAGGCAGCAGUGGGGAAUCUUGCACAAUGGAGGAAACUCUGAUGCAGCGAUGCCGCGUGAGUGAAGAAGGCCUUUGGGUUGUAAAGCUCUUUCGUCGGGGAAGAAAAUGACUGUACCCGAAUAAGAAGGUCCGGCUAACUUCGUGCCAGCAGCCGCGGUAAUACGAAGGGACCUAGCGUAGUUCGGAAUUACUGGGCUUAAAGAGUUCGUAGGUGGUUGAAAAAGUUGGUGGUGAAAUCCCAGAGCUUAACUCUGGAACUGCCAUCAAAACUUUUCAGCUAGAGUAUGAUAGAGGAAAGCAGAAUUUCUAGUGUAGAGGUGAAAUUCGUAGAUAUUAGAAAGAAUACCAAUUGCGAAGGCAGCUUUCUGGAUCAUUACUGACACUGAGGAACGAAAGCAUGGGUAGCGAAGAGGAUUAGAUACCCUCGUAGUCCAUGCCGUAAACGAUGUGUGUUAGACGUUGGAAAUUUAUUUUCAGUGUCGCAGCGAAAGCGAUAAACACACCGCCUGGGGAGUACGACCGCAAGGUUAAAACUCAAAUGAAUUGACGGGGACCCGCACAAGUAGUGGAGCAUGUGGUUUAAUUCGAAGAUACGCGCAGAACCUUACCAACACUUGACAUGUUCGUCGCGACUCUAAGAGAUUAGAGUUUUCGGUUCGGCCGGACGAAACACAGGUGCUGCAUGGCUGUCGUCAGCUCGUGUCGUGAGAUGUUGGGUUAAGUCCCGCAACGAGCGCAACCCUCACUUUUAGUUGCCAUCAUUAAGUUGGGCACUCUGAAAGAACUGCCAGUGAUAAGCUGGAGGAAGGUGGGGAUGACGUCAAGUCCUCAUGGCCCUUACGUGUUGGGCUACACACGUGCUACAAUGGUAUCUACAACAGGAAGCAAAACUGCGAAGUUAAGCAAAUCCUUAAAAGAUACCUCAGUUCGGAUUGCACUCUGCAACUCGAGUGCAUGAAGCUGGAAUUACUAGUAAUCGUGGAUCAGCGUGCCACGGUGAAUGCGUUCCCGGGUCUUGUACACACCG
rnacentral:rRNA from 1 species